rnacentral:rRNA from 1 species
AGAGUUUGAUCCUGGCUCAGAUUGAACGCUGGCGACGUGCUUAACACAUGCAAGUCGUGCGAGAAAGUAGGCUUCGGUCUAUGAGUAGAGCGGCGCACGGGUGAGUAACGCGUGGAUGAUCUACCCUUGAGUUCGGGAUAACGGUGCGAAAGCGCCGCUAAUACCGUAUAACAAUCCAUUUCAUCGUGGGUUCAAAGCAGGCCUCUUCGUGAAAGCUUGCGCUUGGGGAUGAGUCCGCGUCCCAUUAGCUUGUUGGCGGGUAACGGCCACCAAGGCUACGAUGGGUAGCUGGUCUGAGAGGAUGAUCAGCCACACUGGAACUGAAACACGGUCCAGA